UCCGGUGGCGAUAGCAAAGUGGACACACCUGAACUCAUCCCGAACUCAGAAGUUAAGCACUUUCACGGCGACAAUAGUUGGGCUUGCCCCUGCGAAGAUAGCUAGCUGCCGGGU
rnacentral:rRNA from 7 species